CUAAAAUUAUUUUGUUAAAACCACGGACUAAAUAAUAACUGUUUUUCGUUUUUAAGAAAACCGUUAUCCUUGCACUGUUCUGUUCACUGCCUCAGUCCUCUACUCAGUGAGAUGAUGAUGAUGGCGGUGGUUCUAGAAGGAACCCAUAGCUUUUUACCGAAUUCUAACCAAUUCAUUCUUUGGUUUCCACCUUCACCACCACCACCAACAACAACCAAUCAAAAACCUCUCUCAACACCGCCAGGAAUAUCAAAACGACACCGUACUCGUCUCACCAAAGCAGCAGCAGCAAAAACGCAAGAAGUCCGAGUCUGCACGAACCGCACAUGCCGUAAACAAGGCUCAUUUCAAACUCUAGAAGUCGUCACCGAUUUAGCCCCUCCGGAUAUAACCGUCAAGUCCAGUGGCUGCUUAGGCCGUUGUGGCUCUGGUCCAAACGUCGCCCUUUUGCCUCAAGGAAUAAUAGUGAAUCAUUGCGGUACUGCUGCUAAAGCUGCACAGUUCAUGGCUACCGCUGCUAAUGUUAGCGAUGUAAAUAUAAGUAAGAGUUUGGAAGCACUUGCUUUGAGAAAAACAGCUCAGGCUGAAUCCGAACUUGCAAAUUUCUCCAAGGCCGAGGAAUUACUCUCACUGGCUAUCGAUCUUCAACCAUUUGGUGGUAUCCACAUCAUGUAUAAAUACAGGUCGCUUGCAAGAUUGGCAAUGAGAAACUAUUUGGGUGCUCUUGAAGAUGCAAGAGAAGCUUUAAGAUUAGCUCCUCGAUAUCUUGAGGCUUACAUGUGCGAAGGUGAUGUUUUCAUGGCCAUGGAAGAAUAUGAUGCAGCGGAGAAGUCAUAUUUGACUUGUUUACAGAUAGACCCAUCUAUUCGUCGUUCCAAAUCUUUCAAGAAACGGGUGGAAAAGCUUAACGAGAAGCUAACUGCUGCAAAUAUGCCUCUCAAUCAGCAUGAAUAAAUCCACCUGUGUAUGCAUAUUACAAUCUGAGGGAUUGAAGUCUUGAAGGUUCUCUGCAUCCAGGGGGUUGCUGCUUGUCUCACGGGGAUGGAGGCAUUUGGGUUCUGUAGCAGAGACCUUGAUAGCAACUAAAAAUGAAAGGUGGAUUUAUGAACAGUGCUUGUAGUUCCAGAUAUUGAUGUAAUGGUUGGGAAGUUAUUGCUAAUGGUAUGGGAAUCAGUGAAUGUAGAAAGACAUGUUACAGUUUCGUUCACUUUGAAAUGUUAAGGAAAUAGUGUGCAUGUCUUGUAACUCUGUACAAGACUCUUUUGCUUUGUUUCAAAAUGGAAAAUCUUAGACAGGCACACAAAUUACUACUUA